CCUGUGUUGUGAGGUGUGUGUCUGAUACAUGUGUUACUAACUGGUUCCUGUGUUGUGAGGUGUGUGUUUCUGAUACCCUGUUUUACUAACUGGUUCCUGUGUUGUGAGGUGUGUGUCUGAUACAUGUGUUACUAACUGGUCCCAGUGUUGUGAGGUGUGUGUGUCUGAUACCCUGUGCUACUAUCUGGUCCCUGUGUUGUGAGAUGUGUGUGUCUGAUACCCUGUGUUACCAACUGGCCCCUGUGUUGUGAGGUGUGCGUGUCUGAUACCCUGUGUUACUAACUGGUUCCUGUGUUGUGAGGUGUGUGUGUCUGAUACCCUGUGUUACUAACUGGUUCCUGUGUUGUGAGGUGUGUGUCUGAUGGCCUGUGUUACUAACUGGUCCCUGUGUUGUGAGGUGUGUGUCUGAUGGCCUGUGUUACUAACUGGUCCCUGUGUUGUGAGGUGUGUGUGUCUGAUACCCUGUGUUACUAACUGGUCCCUCUGUUGUGAGGUGUGUGUGUCUGAUACCCUGUGUUACUAACUGGUCCCUCUGUUGUGAGGUGUGUGUGUCUGAUGGCCUGUGUUACUAACUGGUUCCUGUGUUGUGAGGUGUGUGUCUGAUACCCUGUGUUACUAACUGGUCCCUCUGUUGUGAGGUGUGUGUGUCUGAUGGCCUGUGUUACUAACUGGUUCCUGUGUUGUGAGGUGUGUGUGUCUGAUGGCCUGUGUUACUAACUGGUUCCUGUGUUGUGAGGUGUGUGUCUGAUACCCUGUGUUACUAACUGGUUCCUGUGUUGUGAGGUGUGUGUCUGAUGGCCUGUGUUACUAACUGGUUCCUGUGUUGUGAGGUGUGUGUCUGAUACCCUGUGUUACUAACUGGUUCCUGUGUUGUGAGGUGUGUGUGUCUGAUACCCUGUGUUACUAACUGGUUCCUGUGUUGUGAGGUGUGUGUGUCUGAUACCCUGUGUUACUAACUGGUUCCUGUGUUGUGAGGUGUGUGUGUCUGAUACCCUGUGUUACUAACUGGUCCCUGUGUUGUGAGGUGUGUGUGUCUGAUACCCUGUGUUACUAACUGGUUCCUGUGUUGUGAGGUGUGUGUGUCUGAUACCCUGUGUUACUAACUGGUUCCUGUGUUGUGAGGUGUGUGUGUCUGAUACCCUGUGUUACUAACUGGUUCCUGUGUUGUGAGGUGUGUGUCUGAUACCCUGUGUUACUAACUGGUUCCUGUGUUGUGAGGUGUGUGUGUCUGAUACCCUGUGUUACUAACUGGUUCCUGUGUUGUGAGGUGUGUGUGUCUGAUGGCCUGUGUUACUAACUGGUUCCUGUGUUGUGAGGUGUGUGUCUGAUGGCCUGUGUUACUAACUGGUUCCUGUGUUGUGAGGUGUGUGUCUGAUACCCUGUGUUACUAACUGGUUCCUGUGUUGUGAGGUGUGUGUGUGUGUCUGAUACCCUGUGUUACUAACUGGUUCCUGUGUUGUGAGGUGUGUGUCUGAUGGCCUGUGUUACUAACUGGUCCCUGUGUUGUGAGGUGUGUGUGUCUGAUACCCUGUGUUACUAACUGGUUCCUGUGUUGUGAGGUGUGUGUCUGAUGGCCUGUGAUACUAACUGGUUCCUGUGUUGUGAGGUGUGUGUGUCUGAUACCCUGUGUUACUAACUGGUUCCUGUGUUGUGAGGUGUGUGUCUGAUGGCCUGUGAUACUAACUGGUUCCUGUGUUGUGAGGUGUGUGUCUGAUGGCCUGUGUUACUAACUGGUUCCUGUGUUGUGAGGUGUGUGUGUCUGAU